rnacentral:rRNA from 1 species
AUGGCUCAGGAUGAACGCUAGCUACAGGCUUAACACAUGCAAGUCGAGGGGCAGCAUUGGAGUAGCAAUACUCAGAUGGCGACCGGCGCACGGGUGAGUAACACGUAUCCAACCUGCCGCUUACUCGGGGAUAGCCUUUCGAAAGAAAGAUUAAUACCCGAUGGUAUAAAGAGUUCGCAUGUUCUCUUUAUUAAAGAAUUUCGGUAAGCGAUGGGGAUGCGUUCCAUUAGAUAGUUGGCGGGGUAACGGCCCACCAAGUCUACGAUGGAUAGGGGUUCUGACGAGGAAGGUCCCCCACAUUGGAACUGAGACACGGUCCAAACUCCUACGGGAGGCAGCAGUGAGGAAUAUUGGUCAAUGGACGAGAGUCUGAACCAGCCAAAAGUAGCGUGAAGGAUGACUGCCCUAUGGGUUGUAAACUUCUUUUAUAAGGGAAUAAAGUGAGGGACGUGUCCCUUUUUGUAUGUACCUUAUGAAUAAGGAUCGGCUAACUCCGUGCCAGCCGCCGC